GACGGAGGAUGCAAGCGUUAUCCGGAAUUAUUGGGCGUAAAGCGUCCGCAGGCGGUCUCGUAAGUCUGUCUUUAAAGCGUGGAGCUUAACUCCAUAAAGGGGAUGGAAACUGCGAGACUAGAGGUAGGUAGGGGUAGAAGGAAUUCCCAGUGUAGCGGUGAAAUGCGUAGAUAUUGGGAAGAACACCAGCAGCGAAGGCGUUCUACUGGACCAAACCUGACGCUCAUGGACGAAAGCUAGGGGAGCGAAAGGGAUUAGAUACCCCUGUAGUCCUAGCCGUAAACGAUGGACACUAGGUGUUGCACGUAUCGACCCGUGCAGUGCCGUAGCCAACGCGUUAAGUGUCCCGCCUGGGGAGUACGCUCGCAAGAGUGAA
rnacentral:rRNA from 1 species